ensembl:snRNA U1 U1 spliceosomal RNA
AUUCUUACAUGGCAGGGGAAAUACCAUCACUGUGAAGGUGCUUUUCUUAUUGGAUAAGCCAGUGGAGACACCUAUUGCACUCUGGUUGUGCUAAACCCUGUGAUUUUCCAAAUACAGGAAAUUUGGCUGCAUAAUUUGUUGUAGUGGGAUAGGAUGUUCACACUCUCUCCUA